rnacentral:rRNA from 1 species
GUCUCAGUUCGGAUUGAAGGCUGAAAUUCGCCUUCAUGAAGCCGGAAUUGCUAGUAAUGGCAGGUCAGCAUACUGCCGUGAAUACGUUCCCGGGCCUUGUACACACCGCCCGUCACACCAUGAGAGUUGGGAAUACCCGAAAGCCUGUGAGCUAACUUUUAGAGGCAGCAGUCGAAGGUAGAAUCAAUGAUUGGGGUGAAGUCGUAACAAGGUAGC